GACGAACGCUGGCGGCGUGCUUAACACAUGCAAGUCGAACGGAAAGGCCCUUCGGGGUACUCGAGUGGCGAACGGGUGAGUAACACGUGGGUGAUCUGCCCUGCACUUUGGGAUAAGCCUGGGAAACUGGGUCUAAUACCGGAUAGGACCACGGCAUUCAUGUGCUGUGGUGGAAAGCUUUUGCGGUGUGGGAUGGGCCCGCGGCCUAUCAGCUUGUUGGUGGGGUAAUGGCCUACCAAGGCGACGACGGGUAGCCGGCCUGAGAGGGUGACCGGCCACACUGGGACUGAGAUACGGCCCAGACUCCUACGGGAGGCAGCAGUGGGGAAUAUUGCACAAUGGGCGCAAGCCUGAUGCAGCGACGCCGCGUGAGGGAUGACGGCCUUCGGGUUGUAAACCUCUUUCGCCAGGAACGAAGCGCAAGUGACGGUACCUGGAGAAGAAGGACCGGCCAACUACGUG
rnacentral:rRNA from 1 species